CCUACGGGUGGCAGCAGUGAGGAAUAUUGGUCAAUGGCCGUAAGGCUGAACCAGCCAAGUAGCGUGAAGGAAGACUGCCCUAUGGGUUGUAAACCUCUUUUAUACGGGAAUAAAGGUUUCCACGUGUGGAUGUUUGCAGGUACCGUAUGAAUAAGGACCGGCUAAUUCCGUGCCAGCAGCCGCGGUAAUACGGAGGGUCCGGGCGUUAUCCGGAUUUAUUGGGUUUAAAGGGAGCGUAGGCGGGUCGUUAAGCGAGUCGUGAAAGUUUGUGGCUCAACCAUAAGAGUGCGGUUGAAACUGGCAGUCUUGAGUACAGGAGAGGUAGGCGGAAUUCGUGGUGUAGCGGUGAAAUGCUUAGAUAUCACGAAGAACUCCGAUUGCGAAGGCAGCUUGCUGGACCGCUACUGACACUGAGGCUCGAAAGUGUGGGUAUCAAACAGGAUUAGAUACCCCAGUAGUC
rnacentral:rRNA from 1 species